AAACCAACAGGGAUUGCCCUAGUAACGGCGAGUGAAGCGGCAACAGCUCAAAUUUGAAAUCUGGCCCCCGGGUCCGAAUUGUAAUUUGUAGAGGAUGAUUUUGGUGCGGUACCUUCCGAGUUCCUUGGAACAGGACGCCUUAGAGGGUGAGAGCCCCGUACGGUUGGAUACCUAGCCUCUGUAAAUCUCCUUCGACGAGUCGAGUAGUUUGGGAAUGCUGCUCUAAAUGGGAGGUAAAUUUCUUCUAAAGCUAAAUACUGGCCAGAGACCGAUAGCGCACAAGUAGAGUGAUCGAAAGAUGAAAAGCACUUUGAAAAGAGGGUUAAAUAGCACGUGAAAUUGUUGAAAGGGAAGGAUUUAUGACCAGACUUUUUCUGGGCAGAUCAUCCGGUGUUCUCACCGGUGCACUUUGCCCAGUUUAGGCCAGCAUCGAUUUCCGGAGGGGGAUAAAAGCUUUAGGAAUGUGGCUCCCUCGGGAGUGUUAUAGCCUAUUGUAUAAUACCUUUCUGGGGAUCGAGGUACGCGCUUCUGCAAGGAUGCUGGCGUAAUGGUUAUCAAUCACCCGUCUUGAAACACGGACCAAGGAGUCGAACAUUUGUGCGAGUGUUUGGGUGUUAAACCCUCACGCGUAAUGAAAGUGAACGGAGGUAAGAGCCCUUACGGGUGCAUUAUCGACCGAUCCUGAAGUUUUCGGAUGGAUUUGAGUAGGAGCAUAAAUGUUCGGACCCGAAAGAUGGUGAACUAUGCGUGGAUAGGGUGAAGCCAGAGGAAACUCUGGUGGAGGCUCGCAGCGGUUCUGACGUGCAAAUCGAUCGUCAAAUCUGCGCAUGGGGG
rnacentral:rRNA from 1 species